rnacentral:rRNA from 1 species
UACGUAGGCAGCGAGCGUUGUUCGGAGUUACUGGGCGUAAAGGGUGUGUAGGCGGUCCUCCAAGUUUGGUGUGAAAUCUCCCGGCUCAACCGGGAGGGUGCGCCGAAAACUGGGGGGCUAGAGUGCGGGAGGGGAGAGUGGAAUUCCUGGUGUAGCGGUGAAAUGCGUAGAUAUCAGGAGGACACCGGUGGUGUAGACGGCUCUCUGGACCGUAACUGACGCUGAGACACGAAAGCGUGGGUAGCAACAGG